UACGCUGGUAAAGCCAUAAAUGAACGAUAUACCACCUCCAGUGGAUGGGGCGGUGUCAGGAAAUUUGUGUGUGUAAAGAAGGUGUUGAGAUGCUUGCAAUCACUCUGUCAGUACAGGCCAGUCAUGAUGGUACUGGGUGUAUUCCUGCUCUUGUCUCUCUUAAUAGGAGAAUCUGUUGGGAAUACUAUAACACCCUCGCAUUCUUCACUGAUCGUCAUCGAGGAAGAAGCUGUUACUUUCUCCUGUAACUACAGUGGUAGUGUCACUAACUUGCAAUGGUAUCGGCAGUAUCCCAACUCCAUCCCAGAGUUCCUCUACUACAUAUAUGUGGCUGGUACCACUUCAGACCCAGUUCCCCGCCUGACUCCCUCCAUAAAGACAGAGGAAAAGCGCGUGUUUCUGGAGCUCUCCUCUGCAGAGGCGUCUGACUCUGCUGUGUACUACUGCGCCCUGAGGCCCACAGUGACAGGAACUCUGACUCUGCUGUACAAAAUCCUCUCAGAUGUGCAGGAGGAGGGAGAUUCAACAUGUCCCCUUCACAGACAGUACAUUCAUUUAUACACUCUGACUAUUAAUCCAGUCUGCUGAU